UACGUAGGGGGCAAGCGUUGUCCGGAUUCAUUGGGCGUAAAGAGCGUGUAGGCGGCCAGGUAGGUCGGUUGUGAAAACUGGAGGCUCAACCUUCAGAGGUCGACCGAAACCAUCUGGCUAGAGUCCGGGAGAGGAGAGUGGAAUUCCUGGUGUAGCGGUGAAAUGCGCAGAUAUCAGGAAGAACACGCGUGGCGAAAGCGGCUCUCUGGAACGGUACUGACGCUGAGACGCGAAAGCGUGGGGAGCGAACAGG
rnacentral:rRNA from 1 species